rnacentral:rRNA from 1 species
UGGUGGAGCGAUUUGUCUGGUUAAUUCCGAUAACGAACGAGACUCUAGCCUAUUAAAUAGUUCACCGAUGUCCAAGCGUCGGCGGCAACUUCUUAGAGGGACAGGUGUCGUAUAGGCACACGAGAUUGAGCAAUAACA